UAUCUUCCAUUCGCAUUAGAUCCAAGAGUUGCCCCUGUAACCUCAGAGUAGAGCCUGUACACGUCACUUUAAUUAUUUGAGUUACAUUAGCAAGUUAGCGAGGUUUAACAACUGGAAAAUGGAUUUCGCGCAUAUCUACUGCGGAUAGUUACUUCGUACUUACUCGUAAUAUGUUUCACGAAAUUCUGAUAAAGUUUAUUUAUCAGAAAUGACACAAAUCAAAAAUAGUAAUCGUGAGAUACUAUUUUUGGUAAGAAAAAAGAUGCAAAGAAAACUUGAAAGAUGGAUGAAGAAACCAAAGAUCAUGAAACGAGGGGAAAAAAGGGAAAGGGUAAAAGACAAAGUUUGUUGAAAUGUGGCAAUUGAAGAACGACGCAAAUGGAUUCUACAAAUAGCAGCAUUUCCCAAACAAAUACGGCAUGCCAAUCAAUCUGCCGUGCGCAUACGCGUGUCUUGAAUAAGAACGAGCGAUUUGCGCGAAUUAUUGGAAGCCGCCAGUUACCGGUGAACAUUUCAUCAGGAGAAUGCAUCGAAGAAUCCGCGUUUCGAUCAGAUUUUGUUGACGUUCAUGUUUAAACUUUGUUCGUGAUUCAUCCUGUUGCUAUACAAAUAAGAUGGAACAACGGUAUCCAUUUAGUUAGGUCGGUGAAACGCGUUGAAUACAAAGAUCGAGCGGAGCGUAUUUCGACGGAGCAAUUUUCGUCCAUCGCGUUAGAGAUUCGGCAAUAAAGCGGGAGCGCGAUCGAGCGAAAUUACAGUGGCGAUUGUUCAAACUGACAGGGACAAGGCGAGCAUUGCGGCUUGAUGCCGGACCAAUUUUUACGCGUUAUCGUCUCGUGUCAGUGUCCAUCGGCUGCGUUCGAUUGCGCUUCUGAAAGCAUAGCAAAAUACGUUUUCCGCGCGUGAUUUCGAUCAACGUCAUCAGCCGAAAGCUUCGGAGAAAUCAAAAACGCUCGCGCGCAUCUCGAUUGAUAGUCAACGUUGAUUUCCUUUUCGUCAUUAAUAAUAAUUAUAUCCCCGAGAUAAACGGCAGCCAACGUUCUUUUAUGCCGCUUUCAGCCAGAGAUUUAGACUUUUUCCACUUUCUCUCGUGGAAUCAAUAGACGCGCACGUUUAACGGACCGUAACGUAUUCUAUGAACUUUCAUCUUGGAAUUUCUAAUAUAAGAAAGUUUGGGAUUGCAUUAAAAACAAUCUUAUUAAAAAAUAUUUAUUCUUUUUUCUUCUUUUUUUAUCAACAUUUAUAUAUAUAU